AGAGGGGAUUCCACCGAUCUGUCCUUGUCCCCUAGGUCAUCUUCCUCAGAGGAGGAUUCAUAUUCUCAGAUAAUUAGUGGGAAUACUAGAAAUUCUAAGAGUGAGGUCGGACUUAUCUGGCAUAAUAUGGUUACAAUAGAUGUGUUAUAGGCCCUAGUAUAAGCAUAGAACAAAUUGUGUGACCUGGCCAUAUCCUUUAUUAUAGCGACAAUCCUGAUCUGCUUAUUGAUGAUGGAAUUGGCCAACUUCUCGAUAUCCUUCAUUUUUGCAAUAAUGAUGUCUCUCUAGUCAAGUUUAUUCCCUCGCUUUCUGCUUUGGUUUUUCCCUUCAUUGUCU
rnacentral:lncRNA from 1 species